rnacentral:lncRNA from 1 species
CCAAGCAUUUUGGAUCACCCCUUCCCAGCCGAGAUCCUCUUAGCCUCACGGAUCGUCCUCACCAUUCCAUGCAUCCAUGGAUCAGUUCAUGCGUACUCUCCGCAUGUAUCCCAACAUCUCUCCCCUAUUCCGCAUCACCAGAUCGUGUUCCAUCAUCUCCCACAUCCAAGAUCUUCGUCCAAUUCCCUUCCGCGUUGAAGAAGUGCAUCAGCUUCGUCCCGCUCGAAUGAUCCCAACUGAAUGCAUCCCAUGGCCAGCCGGAUGAACAUCCCGAACAACUGCCUCUCAGAUUUUCCUUCCGAAUCCAAAGAAUAGAGCCUUCCACAAGUUUCCUCAUCCUCCCGAGCUUCACGGAUCCAGCAAAUCAGGAUUCCUCCCGCUGCCCAGCAGCCAUUCAUCCCGCACCAAGAAAUCAGCAGCCGUCCGCAAUUCAAAGCUUCUCCCGGAUCACUUCUUCCCAACCGAAUCCAGCUUCUUCUGCAUCCCCUAUUCCGCAUCCCCUGCUCUGCGUCCCAGCCACGUCCGAGAUCCUCUCAAACGUCCACAUCUCCUCUGCAUUGAAGCCGCAUCACCAGCAUUCCGGAUCACAUCCACCUUCAGCAUGUGCCAUCCAGCCGUCCAAGCUUCAUCCCAGCUUCACGGAUUGUUAUCCCAGCAACCUCCCGCGUCUUCUCCAUGAUUCAUCCUCAUCUCCUCUCAACCGUGAGCACCAUUCCAACGUCCUCGCCAUCACCUGCAUCCAAAGAUCAAGCUACUUCAUUCCUUUCAGCCCACGAAUCUGAACUAGCUGCACCCAUUCUGGGAUGCGAUCGGGAUGAAUCUUCCACAUGCGUUCGAGCCAUGCUUCCCAGAAACAGAACAAAGUAGGGAGUCUCAUCUCUAGCAUCGGGGGACUCCGACUUUCACAUCCGGAUCAGAUCUUCUCCCCAUCUCGAUCACGACCAUGAAACAGAAGCAAUUCCUCUGCAUUUAUCUUCUCAUUCGGAAGAUUAUAUUAGGGCGAGGAUAACAGGAGUCAGGAGGCUAUAAAAGGGAAGAGUUCUUCUUUUGGGGAGGGCAACCCUUUCUGAUCGAAUAACUCUUGGACUCUUCUGAGAGUUCCCACAUUAGUCCAAGGAGGGGAUGAUCCGAGGAUCUGAGAAGUUCCCACCAAAGCCAGAGAGGGGAGAAAACGCAGGAGGGAGAAGUGAUGGGAAUCCUCUGCAUUGCUGCUACCGUCCCCCACU